rnacentral:tRNA from 1 species
GAAGUUAUAGCUCUGGUAGAGCAUGUGCUUAGCAUGCACAAGGUCAUGGGUUCAAUCCCCAGCACCUCCA